UAGCGGAACUCCUACGGGAGGCAGCAGUGGGGAAUUUUGGACAAUGGGGGCAACCCUGAUCCAGCAAUGCCGCGUGAGUGAAGAAGGCCAUCGGGUUGUAAAGCUCUUUUGUCAGGGAAGGAACGGUAGUAGCUAAUAUCUAUUACUAAUGACGGUACCUGAAGAAUAAGCACCGGCUAACUACGUGCCAGCAGCCGCGGUAAUACGUAGGGUGCAAGCGUUAAUCGGAAUUACUGAGCGUAAAGCGUGCGCAGGCGGUUGUGUAAGUCAGAUGUGAAAUCCCCGGGCUCAACCUGGGAAUUGCACUUCAGCCUGCACGGCUAGAGUGUGUCAGAGGGGGGUAGAAUUCCCCGUGUAGCAGUGAAAUGCGUAGAUAUGUGGAGGAAUACCGAUGGCGAAGGCAGCCCCCUGGGAUAACACUGACGCUCAUGCACCAAAGCGUGGGGAGCAAACAGGAUUAAAAACCCUAGUAGUCCACUUAUG
rnacentral:rRNA from 1 species